CCUGAUAAUCCUGACACAUGCUAAGGCAACCUAAUAAGACACUGCACCUCAUAUGGACAGAGGAAAUGGGACAUUGUGAGACACACAGAGCACUAAUCCUCUGCGAGACGGCAGGACAGAAUGACUGUGCUGGAAGACACCGCCACAUGCUGUCAACACCAUUUUGCGAUUGAACAGCAGAUACUGCAGACCCCAGCUGAGACACAUGAUCAUCACCUGAUCUGGGUGCGUUGCUCUGAAAGACAGCGCCUCUGCAGUGAAGGAAACCAAAAUGAAUAAAUAACUCGUAUCCAAGGAUACUGAGGGAGAAUGGCAAAAAAGAAGACAAGCUUUCUUUUCAAGACCCAGCCUACAAUAAAGUGCAAGUGAGGUCAGUUGUCCCAUCCUGCUUGAAUGGCAGAGACGGCCUGUGGUGUGUGAGCCAGUCCUCAGAUGAGG